GGGAGACGCAGAUUGGAAUUUUUUGGGGGGAAAUAUUUUCAUUGCCGGUGCAAUUAAGCAUAAGCAACUAUCAAUGUUGCGUCUAAAAUUUUGGUGACAACAUGGAACAUAAUCUCUCGUCCAUGGAAGGAAGUGAAAACUGCUUCAUUUCCUGUCUGGCCAUGAGAGACAUCCAGUCCUCCCCUGAACCUAAGAGAUGGAAAAUGUUUAUGUUCUUUUGGCAGCUCUCCAGACCAAAUCCCCCCUGUGAGAGAGUAGGGCUGGUCUCCACAUGUCUAUCCAGGGGAGGGUCGAUCCAAUAACCUCCAGAUUUAGGGGGCAGGAUGAGAGGUAAAAGUAAAACCCCUACCUUGAGAGGUGGUGGGAACUCACAACGUUGUUCAUCCAAUCUGCUACCCUGCAGACAAACACAAUCACAGUGAAAUCAUCAUCAUCAUUGCAACCAUACU